CUCUGAAUAAACAAUCGGCUCGCACCCCCGCUUUGACCACGGAUGUACUGGCACUGCGGACUUGCGAACCCUGGAAAGGUCGGGCCAGCCCCGGCCUUUUUAUUU
rnacentral:sRNA from 1 species